UUUUCAGUGUCGCAGCGAAAGCGAUAAACACACCGCCUGGGGAGUACGACCGCAAGGUUAAAACUCAAAUGAAUUGACGGGGACCCGCACAAGUAGUGGAGCAUGUGGUUUAAUUCGAAGAUACGCGCAGAACCUUACCAACACUUGACAUGUUCGUCGCGACUCUAAGAGAUUAGAGUUUUCGGUUCGGCCGGACGAAACACAGGUGCUGCAUGGCUGUCGUCAGCUCGUGUCGUGAGAUGUUGGGUUAAGUCCCGCAACGAGCGCAACCCUCACUUUUAGUUGCCAUCAUUAAGUUGGGCACUCUGAAAGAACUGCCAGUGAUAAGCUGGAGGAAGGUGGGGAUGACGUCAAGUCCUCAUGGCCCUUACGUGUUGGGCUACACACGUGCUACAAUGGUAUCUACAACAGGAAGCAAGACUGCGAGGUCAAGCAAAUCCCUAAAAGAUACCUCAGUUCGGAUUGCACUCUGCAACUCGAGUGCAUGAAGCUGGAAUUACUAGUAAUCGUGGAUCAGCGUGCCACGGUGAAUGCGUUCCCGGGUCUUGUACACACCGCCCGUCACACCAUGGGAGUUGGUUCUACCUUAAGGCAAGGUUUAAAACCCUUGACCACGGUAUAGUCAGCGACUGGGGUGAAGUCGUAACAAGGUAGCCGUAGGGGAACCUGCGGCUGGAUUACCUCCUU
rnacentral:rRNA from 1 species